GCGGGUGUAGUUCAGUGGUAGAACGUCAGCUUCCCAAGCUGAAUGUCGUGGGUUCGAGUCCCAUUACCCGCU
rnacentral:tRNA from 1 species